AGAGGGUGCAAGCGUUAAUCGGAAUGACUGGGCGUAAAGGGUGCGUAGGUGGUUGCUUAAGUUAGAUGUGAAAGCCCCGGGCUUAACCUGGGAACUGCAUCUAAUACUGAGCAGCUUGAGUAGAGUAGAGGAGAGUGGAAUUUCCGGUGUAGCGGUGGAAUGCGUAGAUAUCGGAAGGAACACCAGUGGCGAAGGCGGCUCCCUGGACUCAUACUGACACUCAAGCACGAAAGCGUGGGGAGCAAACAGGAUUAGAUACCCUGGUAGUCCACGCCGUAAACGAUGAGAACUAGAUGUUAGGAGGGUUACCUCUUAGUAUCGCAGCUAACGCGUUAAGUUCUCCGCCUGGGGAGUACGGUCGCAAGAUUA
rnacentral:rRNA from 1 species